UCCCGGUUAACCCGGGCAGUCUCAUUAGAGUUCCCACCUUCACGUGUUGGCAACUAAUGAUAAGGGUUGCGCUCGUUGCGGGACUUAACCCAACACCUCACGGCACGAGCUGACGACAGCCAUGCAGCACCUGUGCAAAGGCCCCGAAGGGAGAUGUCAUUUCUGACAUUGUCCUCUGCAUGUCAAGCCUGGGUAAGGUUCUUCGCGUUGCAUCGAAUUAAACCACAUGCUCCACUGCUUGUGCGGGUCCCCGUCAAUUCUUUUGAGUUUCAGCCUUGCGACUGUACUCCCCAGGCGGUAUACUUAACGCGUUAGCUUCGGCACAACCAGGGUUGAGUCCGGUUACACCAAGUAUACAUAGUUUACGGCAAGGACUAC
rnacentral:misc_RNA from 1 species